CGCUGGCGGCGUGCUUAACACAUGCAAGUCGAGCGGUAAGGCCCUUCGGGGUACACGAGCGGCGAACGGGUGAGUAACACGUGAGCAACCUGCCCCUGACUCUGGGAUAAGCGGUGGAAACGCCGUCUAAUACCGGAUACGACCUUCCGCCUCAUGGUGGAGGGUGGAAAGUUUUUUCGGUCAGGGAUGGGCUCGCGGCCUAUCAGCUUGUUGGUGGGGUAACGGCCUACCAAGGCGAUUACGGGUAGCCGGCCUGAGAGGGCGACCGGCCACACUGGGACUGAGACACGGCCCACACUCCUGCGGGAGGCAGCAGUGGGGAAUAUUGCGCAAUGGGCGAAAGCCUGACGCAGCGACGCCGCGUGGGGGAUGACGGCCUUCGGGUUGUAAACCUCUUUUACCACCAACGCAGGCUCCGGGUUCUCUCGGGGUUGACGGUAGGUGGGGAAUAAGGACCGGCUAACUACGUGCCAGCAGCCGCGGU
rnacentral:rRNA from 1 species